AUUGAACGCUGGCGGCAGGCCUAACACAUGCAAGUCGAACGGUAACAGGAAGAAGCUUGCUUCUUUGCUGACGAGUGGCGGACGGGUGAGUAAUGUCUGGGAAACUGCCUGAUGGAGGGGGAUAACUACUGGAAACGGUAGCUAAUACCGCAUAACGUCGCAAGACCAAAGAGGGGGACCUUCGGGCCUCUUGCCAUCGGAUGUGCCCAGAUGGGAUUAGCUAGUAGGUGGGGUAACGGCUCACCUAGGCGACGAUCCCUAGCUGGUCUGAGAGGAUGACCAGCCACACUGGAACUGAGACACGGUCCAGACUCCUACGGGAGGCAGCGGUGGGGAAUAUUGCACAAUGGGCGCAAGCCUGAUGCAGCCAUGCCGCGUGUAUGAAGAAGGCCUUCGGGUUGUAAAGUACUUUCAGCGGGGAGGAAGGGAGUAAAGUUAAUACCUUUGCUCAUUGACGUUACCCGCAGAAGAAGCACCGGCUAACUCCGUG
rnacentral:rRNA from 1 species